UACAUGGGGUGCAAACGUUGCUCGGAAUUAUUGGGCGUAAAGCGUGCGUAGGCGGUUACUCAAGUCGGAUGUGAAAGCCCUCGGCUUAACUGAGGAAGUGCACCCGAAACUGAGUAGCUAGAGUACUAAAGAGGGUCGCGGAAUUCCCGGUGUAGAGGUGAAAUUCGUAGAUAUCGGGAGGAACACCGGUGGCGAAGGCGGCGACCUGGGUAGAUACUGACGCUGAGGCGCGAAAGCGUGGGGAGCAAACAGG
rnacentral:rRNA from 1 species